rnacentral:lncRNA from 11 species
CUUUGUUGGAAGUUGAAACUUCAAAGAAUCAAGUCCUGGUCCUUUUGCUCCCUGUUGUUUUAGCUCCCAUGUGCGAAGGAUAUAGUGAAUGAUUUCAGAUUGGUGAAAGGCUACUCUAACAUGUAUGAGAAGCAUAAUGGGAGCCUGAUGCUCCAUAGACAAGUUAGCUACCACCCUAAACAGUUCUAGCACUAUGAUUACACUUUAAUUGUUUUGGGGUGCGUCCAGACAACACCAAAAAUGCGUGCCCUCUCACACUUUUUCCUGGGGCAUCCAAACAAAGGUAAAAACGGCUUCAUUUUGUACAAAGCAGGAAAACCCUGCUUUGUUCCAAAGUAAUUUGACAGCUGGAAAGAUCCGGGUCUUUCAGAAGACCUGGGUAUUUCCAGCUGCGGGUGCUGUGUGGAUGUGGACUGGAGAUCGUGCUGUGUGACUUCCGGUGCCAAUCCACAUGGCUGUCUUGGGUUUCUUGGGCUCCUGAAGACAGCCCCCACCCCUCCCCAAACCCUUUAAAAUGGAAAUACCUUACCUGACUGUCAUUACUCUGCUGCCAGCACAUAGCAAUAAUGCACCAGGAGAAGGGGGAGGAGGAAAAUAGUUUCUGCCCCUCCCUUCUCCUGGCCCAUCAUUUAUAUACACCAGGAGAGCUCUGGAGAAGGGGGAAUGGCAGCCGGAUAUGGCCCCUUAUUUCAUGCCGACAGGAGAAAACAGUGAAAAGGACAACUGCAAGGAGAAGUGCAAUCCACAAUCUACUCUUUC